UACGUAGGCAGCAAGCGUUGUUCGGAAUUACUGGGCGUAAAGAGUGUGUAGGCGGUUUUCUAAGUUCGGUGUGAAAUCUCCCGGCUUAACUGGGAGGGUGCGCCGGAAACUGGAGUUCUCGAGCGCGGGAGAGGAAAGCGGAAUUCCUGGUGUAGCGGUGAAAUGCGUAGAUAUCAGGAGGAACACCUGUGGUGUAGACGGCUUUCUGGACCGUAGCUGACGCUGAGACACGAAAGCGUGGGUAGCAAACAGG
rnacentral:rRNA from 1 species